rnacentral:tRNA from 1 species
CCUACCGUGUCCGAGUGGUCCAAGGAGUGUGACUCAAGUUCCCAUCUGUGUAUGCAGGCAGGGGUUCGAAUCCCCUCGGUGUCAUUUUGGU